rnacentral:misc_RNA from 1 species
AAGAAGGACGUCCCGUGGAACACAAGCCUCGGGAUGCCAUGCUCAGCCGCAACGUCAGAGGUCCAAGGGAAGAACAUAUGGGUGACAACGCAGUCCGGGGAGAGCUCCUUGAGGACCUGGCCGAAUGGCUGGCGCAGCAUGGAUAUGGCUGUGAGGAAGUUGACAUAUAGGUCCCGGGAGGGGACAGAGGACAAGUUCUCGCAUCCCUCUGGUAGGCCGGCAGCAGUGGAGGGGAAGGGGACA